AACGCAGAGGGAAAAGAAAACACAAAUCCAAAAUGGGAGGGGAACAAAGACUUUACUAAAGACAGGCAAACAAGCAGGGAACAGACAAGGCCACAAAGGGAAAAACACGAACUCAAAAAAACUCUAAAUAACAGAAAACAAGAGGAACUCAAACACGGGCAGGGUAGAACACGGUCAGGGCAGAACGCAGGUAGGCAGAACACAAGGGCAAAUUAACAAGUCAGGAACAAAACAAGUCAGGAACAAAACAAGUCAGGAACAAAACAAGUCAGGAACAAAACAAGUCAGGAACAAAACAAGUCAGGAACAAAACAAGUCAGGAACAAAACAAGUCAGGAACAAAACAAGUCAGGAACAAAACAAGUCAGGAACAAAACUAGUCAGGAACAAAACUCAAGCAGGCAGGUACAUAGAAGUCAGGGAACAAACACAAGCAGGCAGGUACAUCAAAGUCAGGGAACAAACACAACUCGGGAACAAACACAAA